rnacentral:rRNA from 1 species
GAGUUUGAUCAUGGCUCAGGAUGAACGCUGGCGGCGUGCCUAAUACAUGCAAGUCGAGCGCACGGACGAGAAGCUUGCUUCUCUGAUGUUAGCGGCGGACGGGUGAGUAACACGUGGAUAACCUACCUAUAAGACUGGGAUAACUUCGGGAAACCGGAGCUAAUACCGGAUGAUAUUUUGAACCGCAUGGUUCAAAAGUGAAAGACGGUCUUGCUGUCACUUAUAGAUGGAUCCGCGCUGCAUUAGCUAGUUGGUAAGGUAACGGCUUACCAAGGCAACGAUGCAUAGCCGACCUGAGAGGGUGAUCGGCCACACUGGAACUGAGACACGGUCCAGACUCCUACGGGAGGCAGCAGUAGGGAAUCUUCCGCAAUGGGCGAAAGCCUGACGGAGCAACGCCGCGUGAGUGAUGAAGGUCUUCGGAUCGUAAAACUCUGUUAUUAGGGAGAACAUAUGUGUAAGUAACUGUGCACAUCUUGACGGUACCUAAUCAGAAAGCCACGG